rnacentral:lncRNA from 1 species
GAGUUGAUGAAAUGCAGAUCAAAAGGCAAGAAAGGAUUCGAGGAUUAAAGGCCUAAGCAAAGGAAGAUGUAGAAUUUGCUGCGAAACAGAAAUUGAUUCUGUUUUGUACAGGUACCUCACAGGUGUAAAAUUUCCACGAAAUUAUAGUCAUUUGAAGCAGGCAGCAUCCGAUAGAAGAGAUGUCUUUUCAGGCAACGAUUCAGUAUUACUUAUUGUAGCAUAUAUUUCUUUGAUUACAGAUGUGGGCAUAUGUGCACCUGUUUCAAGUGUGCUCACGAGUUGCAUCAGAGUAGCGGAAAAUGUCCAAUGUGUGGAGCUCAAAUACUGGAUGUUGUGCUUGUACAUGUUCAUUCUUGAAGGAAUAUGCUACUUGUACAUAAUGCAGUAUCCAUUCGAAAUGGAUCCCUCUCCAUAUGAGGGGGUGGACACCGUUAUGAACACACUAGUAUACAUGUAACAUCAUCCAUUUUUGAAAUACAGAUGAACCAAUUGUUUUCAUGCUGAACUAACCUUGAAUAUAAAUCUGACGAAAG